GACGAGCGCUGGCGGCGUGCUUAACACAUGCAAGUCGAACGCUGAAGCUCAGCUUUUGUUGGGUGGAUGAGUGGCGAACGGGUGAGUAACACGUGAGUAACCUGCCUCCUUCUUUGGGAUAACGCCCGGAAACGGGUGCUAAUACUGGAUAUUCACUGGUCUUCGCAUGGGGGUUGGUGGAAAGGGUUUUUCUGGUGGGGGAUGGGCUCGCGGCCUAUCAGCUUGUUGGUGGGGUGAUGGCCUACCAAGGCUUUGACGGGUAGCCGGCCUGAGAGGGUGACCGGUCACAUUGGGACUGAGAUACGGCCCAGACUCCUACGGGAGGCAGCAGUGGGGAAUAUUGCACAAUGGGCGCAAGCCUGAUGCAGCGACGCCGCGUGAGGGAUGGAGGCCUUCGGGUUGUGAACCUCUUUCGCUCAUGGUCAAGCCGCAACAAUGGUUGUGGUGAGGGUAGUGGGUAAAGAAGCGCCGGCUAACUACGUG
rnacentral:rRNA from 1 species